rnacentral:rRNA from 1 species
GAUGAACGCUAGCUACAGGCUUAACACAUGCAAGUCGAGGGGAAACGAUAUUGGAAGCUUGCUUCCGAUAGGCGUCGACCGGCGCACGGGUGAGUAACGCGUAUCCAACCUGCCCACCACUUGGGGAUAACCUUGCGAAAGUAAGACUAAUACCCAAUGAUAUCUCAAGAAGACAUCUGAAUGAGAUUAAAGAUUUAUCGGUGAUGGAUGGGGAUGCGUCUGAUUAGCUUGUUGGCGGGGUAACGGCCCACCAAGGCGACGAUCAGUAGGGGGUCAGAGAGGAAGGUCCCCCACAUUGGAACUGAGACACGGUCCAAACUCCUACGGGAGGCAGCAGUGAGGAAUAUUGGUCAAUGGGCGAGAGCCUGAACCAGCCAAGUAGCGUGCAGGAUGACGGCCCUAUGGGUUGUAAACUGCUUUUAUAAGGGAAUAAGGUGAGCCUCGUGAGGCUUUUUGCAUGUACCUUAUGAAUAAGGACCGGCUAAUUCCGUGCCAGCAGCCGCGGUAA